AACGUACGCUGGCGGCACGCCUAACACAUGCAAGUCGAACGAAGUAGCAAUACUUAGUGGCAGACGGGUGAGUAGCAUGUAGGUAUCUGCCCUAUGGCCUGGAAUAACGCGAGGAAACUUGUGCUAAUACCGGAUAAGUCUUUACGGAGAAAGCUUUAUGCACCAUUGGAUGAGCCUGCACUUGAUUAGUUUGUUGGUAGGGUAAUGGCCUACCAAGACUGUGAUCAAUAGCUGAUUUGAGAGGAUGAUCAGCCACAUUGGGACUGAGACACGGCCCAAACUCCUACGGGAGGCAGCAGUGGGGAAUCUUGCACAAUGGAGGAAACUCUGAUGCAGCGAUGCCGCGUGAGUGAAGAAGGCCCUUGGGUUGUAAAGCUCUUUCGUCGGGGAAGAAAAUGACUGUACCCGAAUAAGAAGGUCCGGCUAACUUCGUGCCAGCAGCCGCGGUAAUACGAAGGGACCUAGCGUAGUUCGGAAUUACUGGGCUUAAAGAGUUCGUAGGUGGUUGAAAAAGUUGGUGGUGAAAUCCCAGAGCUUAACUCUGGAACUGCCAUCAAAACUUUUCAGCUAGAGUUUGAUAGAGGAAAGCAGAAUUUCUAGUGUAGAGGUGAAAUUCGUAGAUAUUAGAAAGAAUACCAAUUGCGAAGGCAGCUUUCUGGAUCAUUACUGACACUGAGGAACGAAAGCAUGGGUAGCGAAGAGGAUUAGAUACCCUCGUAGUCCAUGCCGUAAACGAUGUGUGUUAGACGUUGGAAAUUUAUUUUCAGUGUCGCAGCGAAAGCAAUAAACACACCGCCUGGGGAGUACGACCGCAAGGUUA
rnacentral:rRNA from 1 species